rnacentral:rRNA from 1 species
UAAACAUUAGUACCUCCUCGAGAGGUAUUAGUGCUGAAGGGAAGCCGAAGAGUGUGCUACCUGGGAAGUAUAGUCGCAAGGCCGAAACUUAAAGGAAUUGGCGGGGGAGCACUACAACGAGUGACACGUGCGGUUCAAUUAGAUUCUACACCGUGAACCUCACCAGGAGCGACAGCAGAAUGAAGGUCAGUCUAAAGGGCUUACCUGACACGCUGAGAGGAGCUGCAUGGCCGACGUCAGCCUGUGCCGUGAGGUGACCUGUUAAAUCAGGUAACAGGCAAGACCCACAUCUCUAUUUAUUUUCUAUAGAGAGAUUGCCUUGGUAACGAGGAUGAAAGUUUGGGCUACGUUAGGUGAGUACAGCCUGAAUCCCCUGGGCAACACGCGCGCGUCAAUGGUGGAUACAACGAGAUGCGACUCCGAAAGGAGAAGCUAAUCUCUUAAAGUCCAUCUUAGUCUAGAUUGAGGUUUGUAACUCAGCCUCAUGACACUGGAAUUCGUAGUAAUCGUUUGUCAUCAACGAACGGUGAAUAUGUCACGGCUCCUUGCACACACUGCCCGUCAAACCAACCGAGUUUAUUUAUGGUGAAACCUUUCGAGGGAGAACUUUGGGUAGACAAGGUAGGUUAAGUCGUAACAAGGUAGCC